rnacentral:rRNA from 1 species
UACGGAGGGUGCGAGCGUUGUCCGGAAUCAUUGGGCGUAAAGGGCGCGUAGGUGGCGGGACAAGCGUGCGGUGAAAGCUCGGGGCUCAACCCCGAGUCGGCCGUGCGAACUGUCUUGCUUGAGCACUGUAGAGGCAGGCGGAAUUCCGGGUGUAGCGGUGGAAUGCGUAGAGAUCGGAAAGAACACCAAGGGCGAAGGCACUCUGCUGGACCGACACUGACACUGAGAGACGAGAGCUAGGGGAGCAAAUGGG